UGGCUCAGGACGAACGCUGGCGGCGUGCCUAAUACAUGCAAGUCGAACGGUCUUUCUAUGGAAGCUUGCUUCCACUGAGAAGAUAGUGGCGAACGGGUGAGUAACACGUGGGUAACCUGCCCAUAAGAGGGGGAUAACAUCCGGAAACGGGUGCUAAUACCGCAUAGUUUUCUUGAUCGCAUGAUUGAGAAAGGAAAGACGGCCUUUGUGCUGUCGCUUAUGGAUGGACCCGCGGCGUAUUAGUUAGUUGGUGAGGUAACGGCUCACCAAGACGAUGAUACGUAGCCGACCUGAGAGGGUGAUCGGCCACAUUGGGACUGAGACACGGCCCAAACUCCUACGGGAGGCAGCAGUAGGGAAUCUUCCGCAAUGGACGAAAGCUGACGGAGCAACGCCGCGUGAGUGAAGAAAGGUUUUCGGAUCGUAAAACUCUGUUGUCAGAGAAGAACAAGUUGGAGAGUAACUGCUCCAGCCUUGACGGUAUCUGACCAGAAAGCCACGGCUAACUACGUGCCAGCCGCAGC
rnacentral:rRNA from 1 species